ensembl:lncRNA
AUCUGUGUACUCGAGUCCUCCUGAAGAGAAUCCUUGUCUUGGCCUGAGUAGAGAGAGCACUUGCAGAACUGGUAGCUGUUUCCUGUUGAUUGUGCUUCGUGAAAUCAGUUCCUAUACAUCUUCAACUGUGCGCUGUCUUUAUCUUGAACUGAAGCAAACAGGAAAGUUUCCCAUUAGAAUGCAACUCUGAUGGACUGGAUAGCUGUGUGCCCACCCUUGAAGCUGUAAGCAUCCUGGACACCCAUUCCAGAAGGAUGUUUUUGUCAGAUGGACAUAGUACUUUCUCUGAUAUUUAUAAGUUUUUACUGCCUCAGAAAUUGAAGGAAAACCUCUGGAUGAAGUGGUACCUUGUGCUGCUGCAGGGACCCUGAAUCAGGAACUGGUACAAGAGAACGCCGUAGACCAAAUGCUGUUUUGCUGUCUGAAGAGAUCUCAGCAAAGGGGCAGUAGUUAAAGAGGAACGAUUACAUUGUAAAAAGCCAUAAAACCUUCCAGGAUUCAGAGUCUCAGGGGAAUUGUGGCUAAAAUAUUGGAAUGACCUGCAGGACGAGCCUGGCCAUAGGAGAGGUGUGUGCAUGUUGUGUCUUAGCAAAUCAGACUUCCCUCCUCCUGAGUAAUUCCUGCCUCUGACAUGAAUGUAUACACAAAGGUCCCAGUGUUUUCGGUAUUUUGAGAUGGUGGCUGAGAAAACAAGAUUUUUCCUUGAAGAUUAGGAUGGUGAGAGGACUUCCAGUAGCAAAGGGAGAGAGAAAAGAGCCUCACUUUGAAGUUCCUGCAUUGCUUUCUUGCAACUUUAUUCCAUAUCUUAAUUGAUCCUACUUGGAGCCUCUGCGACUGGGUACCAUGUAUGGCAACUAUGGGACACGCAGUAGGAGUAUGCAGCCUUGAACAUGUGCGUUGCUAAGUCAGAGAAGGCAAUGCUUGGGCAGGGAAAGCACAUCAGCUGUCAAUGAGGAUUUAGACCCUUCUUGCAGUCAGCAUCUUACCUAUCCCAGAUGAGCAUUGGUCAACAGCCUGGAUUCCAUAUGUCUCGAGACCAUGGGAGGUUUGAAUGACAGAUCAGUGAUGUAACUCUGGAUUGUUCCCUGUGCUGAAGGCUUGGCUCCUGAUGCCACAUGAUGGUGAGAAUGCCAUGGAGCUGACAUGGAUCAGAAAGCAGAAAGGAACCCAAGACGAAGUCACACAUUGUGGAUCCAUAGAGCCCGACAUCACUAGACUGUGUUGCCAAGAUGGCAUGGCUCAGGCAUCACUACUGGAAGUGCUGGCACUUAGCUCUGGGAAAUCAGUGGGACUCACUGUGGAGCAAAGCAUUGUCAGCAAGGUCCCAUCAAGAAGUCGCACUGUAUUUUUCUCCAUUGCUCCCUGUGGAGUUCAUGUGUUCAGCCUUCUUUCUAAUGAUGGCACUAAGCAGCUGUCAGCUAUUAUCUGAUGAUGUGUAAGUCAUUACAACAUCUGCACCUCACCCUUCAGUAGAUUAAAAAAGUCUUAAACUU